GCAGCCAUGAUGACAGAGGAAGGGGUUUCAGAAUCAUCGCAUCAUCGUCAGCCUUGAAUAGAGACGGCAAAAAUCUUGAAGCCAUGGCAAUAACAAUGGAGUCAGAGCUAUUGAUGCAGGACAUCCUCUUUGAAUAGGUUCUGACCAGGAGAGUCUGAAAGUACAUAAGUUGAUGGAUCUUCCUCUAGCCAGUCAUCAAUGAAAUACUGUUCUGAGAGCUCAAACUUGCCAUUCUCAUUCUCAGGUGAACAUGGCGGCCAAGAAUUAUAACCAGACAUUGAUUUGAGACAAUAAGGUAACUCUAAACGAGUUGUUAACAUUGUUGUGUAAACUGGAGUUCAAUGGGGAAUACAUAUAUACUAUCUCCAUUCUCCACCAGAGCUAUCCAGGCAACUUCUCAAUGACUUUCCUGCUGCGUUUCAGGAAACUUCAAAACCAAUAAGCUUGAGAUUAUUGGGUCUAUCAUCUACUUCUAGAGGACAUGUGGGUCAUAUUAGAGAUAGACUUGUGGAGUGGACUUUGUGUAAAUUGAGGUCUAGGUCUCGUGGUUAGACUCACUAAACCCCCCUUCACAAGGAAGAGGAAUUAAUAGAAAGUCAAAGUUGCAGUGA